rnacentral:rRNA from 1 species
UGCAAGUCGAACGCGGUUAAGGGGUAACUCUUGACUGAGUGGCGAACGGGUGAGUAAUGCAUCGGAACGUACCUUGUUGUGGGGGAUAACCAGUCGAAAGGCUGGCUAAUACCGCAUAUUCCCUGAGGGGGAAAGCGGGGGACCUGAAAGGGCCUCGCGCGAUGGGAGCGGCCGAUGUCGGAUUAGCUAGUAGGUUGGGUAAAGGCUGACCUAGGCGACGAUCCGUAGCUGGUCUGAGAGGAUGAUCAGCCACACUGGGACUGAGACACGGCCCAGACUCCUACGGGAGGCAGCAGUGGGGAAUUUUGGACAAUGGGGGCAACCCUGAUCCAGCCAUGCCGCGUGAGUGAAGAAGGCCUUCGGGUUGUAAAGCUCUUUCGGACGGAACGAAACGGUUACGGUGAAUAGCCGUGACUAAUGACGGUACCGUAAGAAGAAGCACCGGCUAACUACGUGCCAGCAGCCGCGGUAAUACGUAGGGUGCGAGCGUUAAUCGGAAUUACUGGGCGUAAAGCGUGCGCAGGCGGUGCGUUAAGACAGCUGUGAAAUCCCCGGGCUUAACCUGGGAAUGGCGGUUGUUACUGGCGCUACUGGAGUGUGGCAGAGGGAG